CUCAUUCAAUAUCUUCCCCUUUCCGAUUGUUCUAAUUUUAACGCAACAAAUAUUCCACCGCCUUAACAUAGGUACACAUUUGAAACACCCCUUUUAUCUCUCUCCUAAUAGCUCCUCUGCAACAUCCUCCAUUAAUCUUCCGCCUCCUUGUCUUUUCUAGCAGCACGUGUUGUCGUGGCUAACAAGCACCCCUAACCUUCAUCGGACAUCUUCAACGACGGGCGACGACUUCACAGUUUUGAGACAAUAUGAUCAAUAACAAGGGAAAAUCCAACUCAAAAGAUUCUAAGAUUCAGACAAAAUAGUCACCUACAAAAGCACCCAAAUAUGAAAAUCUCCCUGUCCCAAUGAACCUCAAAGCCUUUAGCUUGAACGAUCUCAAAACCAUCACCAGAACUUUCCGAUCGGAUAGCCUUUUGGAUAAUUCACAACAAUUGGGCUUAUCCUGUUGAUGGAGAUUUCUAUUUCUCCGUUGGCGUUCCUUCCAAUUACAGGAGGUCAUGAGGAACAGAACCUAAAGAGAUAGAAUUACGUAAGCUGCAACUAUUUUCUAAUGCACGUAAUCUGAUGCACUUAAAAUUCGAAAUAUGGAAUUUACUCACAAGGAUGUGGCGUUGAGAAUGUUAUCAUACCAUGGGGGCACGAUGAUUGCAUGUAUUUGAUUGCAAAAGAGAACUGGACCAAUCUUCUAUCAGUUGGGCUUUUCAUCAUAACAUAUGGAGUAUUUGCCUAUUUGGCUUACUAUUGUUAAUCACUGGGUAACAUACAUCGUUGUAUACUAUAUAGAAAGAGAUGUCGAGCAGGAACAAAUCAUUGAUGCUAAAGAGGUGAGGAUGGAAUUAUCUACAGAGAACUCCCACAAAGUUAGUAUAUGUUGUAAGUUGGAAUCCUGAAUGUAAAUAGGUUUUAAAAUGUAUCUACUGAUAAUACUUCAAAUAUAUGGACAAUGUUAGAGGAUUUCAUUUGGAUGAUGUCUUCUGGAUUUGAAAUACCCUUUGACCACAAAAUUUGCAAUAAAGAAAAUUGAAGACAAUAAUACCCUUCUCUUCAUUGUUGACAUCUGUGCUGACAUGAAGAAAAUCAAAGAUCCAGUCAACAAGACAUACGACAUCCAGACCAAGAAAAUCAACACCUUGCUCAUGUAUCAUUUUGUCAUGUUUGUUAUCUAUAAAAUGGAUCAAAAUGUGAUGCUUUUUUCCACUUUUUUAUCGUUUGUUUAUUAAAACACAAAUCUGAUGGAACAAAGAAGGCUUAGUUAUCACUAUAAUGAGCAUUUCCUUUCUGUAAAUACACUAACUUCAAGUCAAUGUAAAAUUGAA